rnacentral:rRNA from 1 species
GACGAACGCUGGCGGCGUGCCUAAUACAUGCAAGUUGAGCGCUGAAGGUUGGUACUUGUACCAACUGGAUGAGCAGCAAACGGGUGAGUAACGCGUGGGGAAUCUGCCUUUGAGCGGGGGACAACAUUUGGAAACGAAUGCUAAUACCGCAUAAAAACUUUAAACACAAGUUUUAAGUUUGAAAGAUGCAAUUGCAUCACUCAAAGAUGAUCCCGCGUUGUAUUAGCUAGUUGGUGAGGUAAAGGCUCACCAAGGCGAUGAUACAUAGCCAACCUGAGAGGGUGAUCGGCCACAUUGGGACUGAGACACGGCCCAAACUCCUACGGGAGGCAGCAGUAGGGAAUCUUCGGCAAUGGACGAAAGUCUGACCGAGCAACGCCGCGUGAGUGAAGAAGGUUUUCGGAUCGUAAAACUCUGUUGGUAGAGAAGAACGUUGGUGAGAGUGGAAAGCUCAUCAAGUGACGGUAACUACCCAGAAAGGGACGGCUAACUACGUG